GUCCCGAUAUGGAUAUUUAUUAACUUUUUUAGAAAAUAAAUUUAUAAAAAAAUAAAAAGUAAAUGAAACAAAUAGGCAUUCAAAUGGCAAUAUAGAGAUUCAUUUAGUUGCUAAUGUUUAAUAGAUAUUUAUAUACUCCUAUUUUUUAAAAAAAAAUUUACACUCACACCAUUAAUGAUUAUUUAUUAUGAAAUCAUAGGUGUCAUAAAUCGAUUUUAUGGGUCGGAUUGGCACUAGGAUCUGAACCAGUAUAAAGCCCUCGAAAUUCGUAGUAAGUCUCAUUAUUCUCAAAUCAUAACCAGUCCCAAAUUAAAAUUCCAAUAUACAAAACA
rnacentral:misc_RNA from 1 species